GAGGCUAUAGCUCAGUGGUAGAGUGUGUACCUAGCUUGCACACUGGGUUCAAUUCCCAGUAGCUCCA
rnacentral:tRNA from 1 species